rnacentral:rRNA from 1 species
GAGUAACGCGUGAGGAACCUGCCUUGAAGAGGGGGACAACAGUUGGAAACGACUGCUAAUACCGCAUGACGCAUAGAGGUCGCAUGAUCUUUAUGCCAAAGAUUUAUCGCUUCAAGAUGGCCUCGCGUCUGAUUAGCUGGUUGGCGGGGUAACGGCCCACCAAGGCGACGAUCAGUAGCCGGACUGAGAGGUUGAACGGCCACAUUGGGACUGAGAUACGGCCCAGACUCCUACGGGAGGUAGCAGUGGGGGAUAUUGGGCAAUGGGCGCAAGCCUGACCCAGCAACGCCGCGUGAAGGAAGAAGGCUUUCGGGUUGUAAACUUCUUUUAAGAGGGAAGAGCAGAAGACGGUAGCUCUAGAAUAAGCCACGGCUAACUACGUGCCAGCAGCCGCGGUAAUACGUAGGUGGCAAGCGUUGUCCGGAUUUACUGGGUGUAAAGGGCGUGCAGCCGGGUCUGCAAGUCAGAUGUGAAAUCCAUGGGCUCAACCCAUGAACUGCAUUUGAAACUGUAGAUCUUGAGUGUCGGAGGGGCAAUCGGAAUUCCUAGUGUAGCGGUGAAAUGCGUAGAUAUUAGGAGGAACACCAGUGGCGAAGGCGGAUUGCUGGACGAUAACUGACGGUGAGGCGCGAAAGUGUGGGGAGCAAACAGGAUUAGAUACCCUGGUAGUCCACACUGUAAACGAUGAAUACUAGGUGUGCGGGGACUGACCCCCUGCGUGCCGCAG